rnacentral:rRNA from 1 species
CAGCCGUAAACUAUGCGCGUUAGGUGUAUCGGUGACCACGAGUCACCGAGGUGCCGAAGGGAAACCGUGAAACGUGCCGCCUGGGAAGUACGGUCGCAAGGCUGAAACUUAAAGGAAUUGGCGGGGGAGGCACCACAACGGGUGGAGCCUGCGGUUUAAUUGGACUCAACGCCGGGAAGCUCACCGGAUAAGACAGCGGAAUGAUUGCCGGGCUGAAGACUCUGCAUGACUAGCUGAGAGGAGGUGCAUGGCGUCAGUGACU